rnacentral:rRNA from 1 species
AUUGAACGCUGGCGGCAGGCCUAACACAUGCAAGUCGAGCGGAUGAAGGGAGCUUGCUCCUGGAUUCAGCGGCGGACGGGUGAGUAAUGCCUAGGAAUCUGCCUGGUAGUGGGGGAUAACGUCCGGAAACGGGCGCUAAUACCGCAUACGUCCUGAGGGAGAAAGUGGGGAUCUUCGGACCUCACGCUAUCCGAUGAGCCUAGGUCGGAUUAGCUAGUUGGUGGGGUAAAGGCCUACAAGGCGACGAUCCGUAACUGGUCUGAGAGGAUGAUCAGUCACACUGGAACUGAGACACGGUCCAGACUCCUACGGGAGGCAGCAGUGGGGAAUAUUGGACAAUGGGCGAAAGCCUGAUCCAGCCAUGCCGCGUGUGUGAAGAAGGUCUUCGGAUUGUAAAGCACUUUAAGUUGGGAGGAAGGGCAGUAAGUUAAUACCUUGCUGUUUUGACGUUACCAACAGAAUAAGCACCGGCUAACUUCGUG